CCGCGGUCCUGUGUGCGUCGCAGCUGGGCAGCGAUGUAAACUUUAGCACGGUGACGUCAUGCGGACCGGCGCCGUUAGCACAUAGCUAACCAGCUAGCUUAACCUCUCGGCGUAGAAGUCUCUACAGAAGCCUCGGCUUCCCUUUCACACCGGUCCGUUGUCUGAUCGUGAGGUCCGGCUGAUCCCGGUCCAGCUCUUUCACCUCGAGUUUCUCCGCGAAAGUUAUUCCGUCAAACGGCUGUUUGAGGAGAGAAUGUCAGGGUCUGGUCCCGUCGGAGGGACACUGCUCGCCGUUGUCAUGGCGCUAAAUGGGCGCGUCGCGAGACUCUGACGAGGCGCAGCGUAGGGCGGGAAAGUGCUGGCCCCAAAUCUCAAAGUAUUUUAGGCAGAGGUGUCAACUAACGAAGUACAAAUACUUCGUUACUGUACUUAAGUAGUAACUUUACUGGAGUGUUUAUUUUUCAGACGACUUUUUACUCUACUCCUUACAUUUUCACACAAAUAUCUGUACUUUCUACUCCUUACAUUUUAAAAACAGUCUCGUUACUUCCGGCUUCUCCAGAUAAAUGGCGCUAUGCGGACAGAGUGAAUGUGAUUGUGUUUGGAUGAGAAGUUUAAACAUUUAGCAUCCAGACACCCGAUUGGUUUUCUCCGCGAUGCGCCGGCAGAUCGGAGCGACACCGGGUGGGAAAAGUGGUCGGUGGAAAGUUUUGGCGAUCAGGCUGUGGAGUCAGAGAAUCCAGAUUAACUUCAUGAGCCCGAUGGAGCUUCCAUUAAACACGGCGUGGGUAUUCGCGGUUGUAGGAUUGUUUGGUGUAGAACAAACGCUUCAUGUUUAGUGAACUCGGCCUGGAUGAAGAUGGUAAAACACUCUCCUUGCCAUGCCGUCCUCUCUCUCUCUCCAGCUCUCACCCUCUCCCCUCCCUGUCCUCCAGCUGGGCUCGUCGCCCAGCAGGGCCACCACUCCCAUCAGCGUCCAAAGUGGACAAGACCCCUCUUCACAUGGCCGCCUCGGAGGGUCACUCCACCAUCGUGGACCUGUUAGUGCAGGUGGGGAAACGCGGCGGCUGUGACCCCCGGCGGCCCCUCAAAGUUAC
ensembl:lncRNA